CCAUACUAAACACAUUUGUAUUACCAUGAUAUAACUUUAUAAAUAUACCAAUUCAAACCAUCACUAGCCAUUCCAAUGGCUAGAUUACAAACAACCAUUUACAAGCCAAUAAUUUGCCAAGUUAACUUAUACAUGUCAUUAUACCAAAAUAUGUUUACUAUUUAUACCAAAAUGAGUUGGUGGAUAGUAUGAUGAUGCUCUGACCGAUCUCCAAGCUUCAGAGCACUAUAAAACAGAAGAAAGUAAACCUUGUAAGCAUUUAAUGCUUAAUAAGUUCGUAUAACAGAAAUUAAACUUACCAAUCAUAUUCUUUUAAAUAAGCAUAACUGUAACACCUCCUAACCCCAAACCGUUACCGGAACGAGGUUAUGAGGCAUUACCGGACAUAUCAGACAACUUACUAAUAAUUUACAAUUAAUAUAACUUUUAUGGUAUAAUAUAAUAAUUGAGUCCCUAUCUUGAACUCUCAAAGUUCAAGCACGUGUUAAAAGUAGAACGGAACUUGUUCGAAUAUUCUGAAUUUUUUUUUUAUAAAAAUUUCGGUCUGCUUAUUUUUACCUAAAACUUUCUGCAAAUUCAAACUAAAACAACCAGCACCAAUUUUUCACGUUCAUAUAACUAAUAUUUAUAUCAUUAACAUAAUUUCAACUUAAUAACUAUCAUAGCAUCAUUCAAAAUUGAUUAAAAACUUCAUUCAUUUAACAACUUAAUGUUCAUGUAUCAAAAUAUCAUAUACUUUUCUUACCAUUUCAUUUAACCAUCUAAAUCUUAUAAUUCAACCUUCACUACCCAAAGUAAUAUGCAUAUUCAAGUGACUAUAUAACACCUAUGUACAUGCCACCUUUACCCAAAAGAAAAAUAUACAUCACCAAAUUUGUGUUGGAGUCGGGAAUCUUCUGGAUGCUGAACCGGGACACUUGACUUCUACUAACCUGCGCACGGAAACAACCGUACGCUGAGUAUGGAUAUACUCAGUGAUAUUACCAUAAUUCAAAUUAUAUCAACAAUAGUAAAAACAUAAAUAUUAAAAUACCUAACAAUUAAUGUCAUAUGUACUAAUUCAUAAAUCAAUGUAGUUUCUCAAACUUAAAUUUAUAUCACUUAUGACUAUACAUUUCAUACUUUUCUCUUAUUAUCACAAUUCCAAUUUCAAUUCGUAAUUCAAUUUAUUUUUCUCGUUUCAAUGCCUCAAAUUCACAUUUCAAUUUUUUCACCCUAUUAACGUAACUCGGACUUUGGCGGAUACACGGAUCCAACCAAACACACCAAUAUGGCACCCAGUGCCUCAUCGGAUAGUUCGAAGUAAUAGUUGACACCCAGUGUCUCAUCGGCCUAGCCGAAGUAAAGUUGGUACCCAGUACCUCAUCGAAUCUAUCCGAAGAAAUAUAGUGACACCCAGUGUCUCAUCGACUCGAGGUCGAAGUAUCCCUGAACACUUCCAAUCCUAUGGCAUGCCAACUAUAUCCGACUCAGCCCGACUAGUUAAUAGGGUAUUCAAUUCACUUUCUCAAUCCUAUAUCACUUUCAAUUCACAAUUCAAAUCACCAAUCAUUUUUCAAUCAAUACGCUUUUCAAAUAAUUACAUCUUCCAUAAUUCACUUAUUCAAUUCAAUUUGAUUCAAUUUGCAUCACUUUCAUUUUCACUCAAUAUUCAUAUCAAUUUCACAUACUUACCUCAAGUCUUACUUACCAUACAUAACAAUAAAAAAAAUUCAGCAAUCAAUAAUAAUUAAAAUUCGAAUUAUAGUAAUACACACCGUAAUUCUCCCGUUUUAGUACUCGAUGACUUUCUCCUUUCCUUUCGAUGCUGAUGCUUCAGGUUCUUUGUUGGCUACGAAAAUAAUAAUUUAUAAUCAUCAAUAAAACAUGAUUCAAUUUAAUUCAUGAGCCUAAACAUGCAAAUUUAACCAUUUUUAAUGUAUAUAUAUAAGUUCACCAUUAAGCUGUCUACUUGAGUCAUUGUUACUAAAUUAUUUAUAUCUUGAGCUACGAAACUCCAAAUUAAUAUCUGUAAAUUUUCCUUAAAACUAGACUCAUAUAUCUUCUAAUCAUAAAAUUUCCAGAAUUUUUGGUCUAGCCAUUUAAUACAGUUUAUUCGUUAAAUACUCCCCUGUUAUUUCAUUUGACAGUUCUGACCUCUCUCUACUAAAACUAAAUUAUCUCAUUGUACAGAACUCGAAUAAGGUUCUUGUUUAUUUAUUUUGAAACUAGAUUAAUUAAGGAGUUCACAUAUAUAAAUUACACUCCAAAAUAAUUUUUGUACAAUUUUUAAUGAUUUUCCAAAGUUAAAACAGGGCAUCUCGAAAUCACCCCGAACCAGUAUUACAAAAUUUCAAAUAUCUCUUGAUUCAUCAAUUAAUUGCUUACACUGUUUCUACUAUAAGAAACUAGACUCAAUAAGAUUUAAUUCUAUAUUUUGUUCAUCCUCUAGUUCAAUUUAUAAAAUUUUUAGUGAAUUUUCAAAGUCAGACCAUUGCUACUUCCCAAAACUGUUUUGAUGAAAAAUGUUAAUAACCAAAUUUAUAACACCAAUUCACACCUUAUUCCUAUUCAAAUUUCAUUUAAACUCAAAUUUAACUAUUAAAUUUUCAACAUAUUUUCUUAAUUCCGAAUUUUCCUCAAUCUAGUCCCUAAAACACAAAACUUAUAGCUUACUUUGCAAUUCAAUCCUUAUAUCUAUUCUAACUUGAAUUUCGUUCAAUUAAACCCCUAUUUCAUCAUUUUAUUCAACAUGAACUUUGUUUAAAAACCUAAGAACUUCCAAACUAACAACUUAAUUUCAUCAAAAACUUAUUUUAAGACUUCUAAAAUAUCAAAAUUAUGAGAAAAGGACUUGAUUGAGCUUACCAAUUAACUCCAAGCUUCAUAAACCUUAUUUCCCCUUUUCUUUCUUCUUUCCUUUCUUUCUCCCCUGUUCUUCUCUGUUUCGUUUGC
rnacentral:lncRNA from 1 species